rnacentral:rRNA from 1 species
UACGUAGGGUGCAAGCGUUGUCCGGAAUUAUUGGGCGUAAAGAGCUCGUAGGCGGUUUGUUGCGUCGGCUGUGAAAUCCCGAGGCUCAACCUCGGGUCUGCAGUCGAUACGAGCAAACUAGAGUGUUGCAGGGGAGACUGGAAUUCCUGGUGUAGCGGUGAAAUGCGCAGAUAUCGGGAGGAACACCAAUGGCGAAGGCAGCUCGCUGGGACGGUACUGACGCUGACGGCGCGAAAGCGUG